rnacentral:pre_miRNA from 1 species
GCCCGCCAGCCGCCAGCGCGCCCCGACCAUAUUGUCCUGUCACAGCAGUACUGCCUGGUUACUGCUGCGCCGGGACAAGCGGUCGUGGCGUCGCACCAUCAU